rnacentral:sRNA from 2 species
UUACAAUGGUAACUGCCGAAGACAGCAGGUGCUGAAAAGCGUAAGUAUGAAAACGCCUGCCGAGGAAGAAUAGAUUUAGUACGUGUGUAUGAAUUUCUAACCCUCUGUGUCUUUGGAUGCGGAGGGUAUUUUUAUU